UAGGAGGCCAAAUGAGAUCUAAUUGUGUCUUAUUUAACUUGGCCUUUUGCGUGGAUAAUCCUUGGCUUUCUCUGCAAAUAUCACACUUUUGUCAAACUAACCGGACUCCAAUAUGUUUUUCUUUGUGUAAAUGCAAAGUAUUUUUUAUCAUUCAAUAGUAACUCAACUAAUAAAGUUUUCAACUUUAACUGGAGACUAUGCUCUAAUGGAAACCAUAUUAUCAGUGGAAAGAGUCCCAUUACUUAUGAUCAUAUUCUAGUUCAAAUAGUUCACACAGCAGGACAUCUAAAGAGGCCCAAAAAAAUAGUCCAAGAAAUAUUACUUUUGCAAAUAUUCACACACUCAAUUCAAAUAUAAUGUAAAAAUAAGAGACUAGGUUAUCCAGAUAAAUAGAUGUUUAUGAUUAGGAAAGAAAGUUUGAAAUAUUAUCAUUCACAAAUAUCUUCACUAAAGGGAUAUGAGAGGUGGGCAAAGAGUUGAAGUAAAGAAAAAUCCCAAGCAGACAUAGCUCUCAAGCUAAUUGUCUUAGGGUUUAUAUUGAAAUAUAUAAUAUUUGCUGAAGAAGGUAUAACUUCCUAAUUUUAUUUUUUUUAUCAGGGUGUCCAUGAAAUUCUUGAGGCCUUGGCUCAAGGUGACCAAGAUUCUAGUCUAAACUGGGCCAUCAACUCACAGAGUGCACUUAGGCAAAUUGCUUGUUCUCUCUGGACUCCAUUCCCUACCUGAAAAUGAAUGUUUUGAACUAGAUGAUUGUCAGGUUCUUUUCCAGCUCUAACCACAUAUAACUUGAUUUGAGUUUGAGCCUUGGUGAAUAAUCUGAAGUUGAGUUAAAGUUGAAAGGAAAAUAUGGUUUCUUGAUGUGUUUAGUUUUGUUCUUUUUUAGCUUUAAAAAAUCUUUAGGAGAAGAUCAUUCCCUUAAGAUACCAAUGUGUCAUGUCCUAGGAGAGCUGGAAUUGACCUGGAUCCUUGUGGGAAAUACUUCAGUGAUGGAUGGAAGCAGAGGGAGAAAGGACCAAAAUGAAGCCAGGAGGGACAAGAUGGCUGGAAUGUUUGGUUCUGAGGAUUCAUGAUUGUCCUUAACUCACACGGACUGAACUCUCGCUUGCCUGUCUUCCUGGGGCUUGUGUAAGAACAUCCUGCAGAAAAGUAUUAACAACGCGAGUGAUCUUCACUGUGUUUAACGAUUCAUUGAUUGUAAAAGAUGUUUUACCUGGGAUAACAAUGAGUGUGUAUUCCUGGAGCCUAAACUCACUGACCUGGAAGGGGGCCCCGAGAAGUGUGCUAAGUGGACAAAGGAAGCCUGGCUAGAGUUUAUAGUUUUCUAACUAGAUAAUUGAGUGAACUAAAAGGUCUUUUAUUAUCCUUAUGUGGAUUACGUACUUUGCAGGAUAUGCAUAGUCAUUAUUAAAACCAUGUGUACUCCUGUCUCACUUCUGAGCACCUUCUCUGAAAUCAGUCCAUAUAUGCUCAGGAAUGCAAACCACACUCAUUUCAGAGUCAGUGUCAACAAACAUAAUUAAGGAGGCAAAUUUACUUCAUAAGUUUUCUAAUGCCUUCUGCAUUAAAUAGAAAUGACUUUUGGCUGCUCCCAUCUAUUCAUGUGUAUAAUUGUUAAGUUCAGAUCUGAUUUUCCUGGAAGAACAAGUUUGAAUCUCAACAGGCUUGAUCUAGUCUCCCAUCUCCAUGUUCCCCAUAGUGACAGGUAAUUCAUGGAAAUUACUGUCUCAGCAUUUUAAAUAAACCUCCUUUAAGCUGAAAUCAAGAUGAUCUCAUAUAGAAAAGAGUGUAGGUAAAACUCAUAUUUAAGAAAUGGUACAGAGUGAGCAGAAAUUCUCACAGAAUUUUUGAGUCAGAAAUAUUUUUGUUAUACGGGAAAAAGGGACUUGCAGUUGUGCUCUUGAUUAUAAAAAGAAAGGAAAUCAAAUAGCUUUGAAAUGUUCCAUUAAAACCUUAUUUUAAUAUAUUCUUGCCACAAUGUAAGGACCUAUGUAAACUAAGUAAAAUUUCAUGACUCACACUGAGUUGCAUUUUGUAUCAUUUUCUUGUCUUCAUUGCUAUUUCUUUUCUUUUCUUUUUUUUUUUUUUUUCUCGAGACAGAGUCUCACUUUGUUGCCAGGCUGGAGUGCAGUAGCGUGAUCUCAGCUGACUGCAAUCUCCACCUCCCAGGUUCAAGCAAUUCUCCUGCCUCAGCCUCCCGAGUAGCUGGGAUUACAGGCAUGUGCCACCAUGCCCAGCUAAUUUUUGUAUUCUUAGUAGAGACGGGGUUUCACCAUGUUGGCCAGGCUGGUCUCGAAUUCUUGACCUCGUAAUCCACCCACAUCAGCUUCCCAGAGUGCUAGGAAUACAGGCGUGAGCCAUGGCGCCUGGCCCCAUUGCUAUUUCUUAAACCUGGAAAUGCCCCUACUUAUUUCAUGCUACUACAAAAAUGUGUCCAUAGUACUAAUGCUUUCCUGUGGCCAGAGACAUUUUAGGUAUUUCUAAAUACCUAAAUAUUUCUAAUAUAUUCUAAAAUAUUCUACCUAAUAUAGUCUAAAAUAUUCUUUUAGAAAAUAUUAAUAAAUUGAUAAAAUAUGAAAGUGAAACCUAUGGCAGUAAUUUUUAUGAAACAGUAUUUUAGGAUAAUUUAAGAAUAUUGCAUAACUCUCUUAAUAGUCAUUUAUUAUUCUUGUUCAUUCUAUUGUAGGUAUAAAAAUUCAACGAGUAUGUCAAUGUCCUUUAUAUUUUACUUUAAAGGUAUUAAAAUAUUUACAGUUAAUUUUUUAUUACACAAGCAGGAAAUGAAUACAUUCUUAAGGUAAAAAUUAAAACUCUGAUGAUAUAGAUACAAUCCUUUUUGACUAGCACCUAGAAACUAGGUCUCCUUCCUAGAUGAUGUUUACACUACUAUCUGCUUAGCGUACAUCCUCCCAGAUCAUUAUCUGUACAUAUAUAAUUCCUGGUAAAAUAUAGAGUAUUUUGAGAUAUCUUUAAUAUAACUGGUGUGAAAUGGCUGUUAUACUAUAGCUUGUUUUUCACUUAAUAUGUCUUGAGGAGUUUUCAGUGUUAGUACAUAUAAUAAACUUAAUUAUUUUAAACUGUUGCUUGGUACUUUAUGAUACAGCUGUUACAAAAUUUAUUUUCCAUUCUAAUUUUGGUAGAUAUUUAGGUUGCUUUCAUUUUUUUACGAUGACAAAGAAUUCUGCAAUGAAUUGUUAUAUGUCUCUUUACAACUGUGAAGUCUGAGCAGUAUCCUAAAUGAUUUUGCAUUCUUCUGUGUAGCUUUGACACCAGCUAAUUCUAAGUUCCUUAAUGAUAUAGUUUGGCUGUGUCCCCACCCACAUCUCAUCUUGAAUUGUGGCUCCCAUAAUUCCCAUGUGUUGUGAAAGGGACCCGGUGGGAGAUAAAUGAAUCAUAAGAGCAGUUUCCCCUAUACUGUUUUUGUGGUAGUGAAUAAGUCUCAUGAGAUCUGAUGGUUUUAUAGAGUCCUGCCAAUGAGAUGUAGACAGAAGUCUACUGAGACUGGCUUCUUUUCACCAACAAAAAGACAAAGCCCUUCAAGGAGAAGUCUUUAGGCCUAAUUGCCUCAUUUUUGCCUGGAACAUGGAUGUGAUUUCUGGAGGCGCACCAGCCACUGCAGGGCCCUGUUCAUAAAGGUAUGCCAAGGGUGCAGACUAGGGAGAGAGAAAGUUUCUGGUGAGGUUGGUCUUGGUGGCUCCAGCCUGGGCAACAGAACAAGACUCUGUCACACAAAAAAAGAAAUUUCUGGUGGACAUUGGUACAUCCACCCUGAAGAGCUGAUUUUUUGUGGUAUUUUCUAUUAUUUGUUACAGAAAGCAAUCCGUAUAUACUGAAUAUGUUACUUCCCCUUUUCUCUCUUCCUCCUCCCCUCCCUUCCUUCCUUCUUCCCCCACUUCUCUCUUUUUCUUAUUUAUUUAUUUAUUUAUUUAUUUAUUUAUUUAUUUAUUUAUUUAUUUGAGACGCAAUCUCACUCUGUCACCCAAGCUGGAGUGCAGUGGCAUGGUCUCGGCUCACUGCAACCUCCGCCUCCUGGGUUCAAGUGAUUCUCUUGCCUCAGCCUCCUGGGUAGCUGGGAUUACAGGCUCUUGCCACCACACAUGGCUAAUUUUUUUUAUUUUUAGUAGAGUCAGGGUUUCACCGUGUUGGCCAGGCUGGUUUCGAACUUCUAAUCUCAAGUAAUCCUCCUGCCUCGGCCUCCCAAAGUGUUGGGGUUACACGCAUGAGCCACCAUGCUCAGCCCCUCUUUUGCUUAUUUUUUUUGACGUCAGACAAGGCAAUGGCAACCUGAGAUCAAUCCAAAAGUUAAUAUUUGGUUUUAACUCUGUGCUUAAAAUGCAGCAAAUAUUUCUUUCUUUCUUUCUUUCUUUUUUUUUUUGAGACAGAGUCUCAAGUCUCGCUCUUUCUCCCAGGCUGGAGUGAAGCAGCGAAAUCUUGGCUCAUGGCAAACUCCACCCCCGGGGUUCAAGUGAUUCUCCUGCCUCAGCCUCAUGAGUAGCUGGAAUUACAGGCGCCCCCCACCAUGCCUGGUUAAUUUUUGUAUUUUUAAUAGAGGCGGGGUUUCGCCAUGUUGGCCAGGCUGGUCUCUAACUCCUGACCUCAGGUGAUCCACCUGCCUUGGCCUCCCAAAGUGCUGGGAUUACAGGUGUGAGCCACCGUGCCCAGCCAAAGUGCAGCAAGUAUUUCGGCGGGGAGGGGGCAAAGGAUGGUAGUGUGGUGGGGGAUGAAAGAAACUGCUGCUGUUCUCCUUUUUUUCUUUGCAGGCCCUAGGGAUUAUAAUCCUUAUCUCUCCAGCCAUCUUCAUAUAAUAAUUUUAACAGGGAGGCCAAUUAUUUACUUUUAAGAUCUAGGAAUGGAAGUUAAGAAAUGAGUUCUAGGCCAGGCGUGGUGGCUCACACCUGUAAUUCCAGCAUUUCUGGGAGGCUGAGGUGCACAGAUCUCCUGAGCUCAAGAGUUUGAGACCAGCCUGGGCGACAUGGCAAAAACCCCGUCUCUACAAAUAAUAUAAAAAUUAGCUGGCAUGAUGGUGCGUGUCUGUAGUCCUAGCUACUUGGGAGGCUGAAGCCAGAGGAUCACUUGAGUCUGGGAGGUCGAGGCUGCAGUGACCUGAGAUUGCACCAUUGCAUUUUAACCUGGAUGACAGAGCGCGACCCUGUUUCAAAAAAAAAAAAAAAAAAAAAAAGAGAGAGAGAGAGAAUCCUCCGUCUGGUUGGUAGUGCAUCUUUCCUCAAAUAGUGAGUAGCUGUUUGGUUACUUUGUGAUAAACAUGAAAAACAAAAACAACCUCCCCUUCUGAGAGAAUUUCUGUCAAAUGAGUUCUAAAGGCUUCUUUCUUGGAGGCAGAAAUUCUGUAUGAGAAGAAGUCAUUUGAGUUUGUAGUUAACUUGGUUCCUGUGUGUGUGUGUGUGUUUCUGUUUGUGAAGCUGUACUCAUAAACCAUGCAAGGACACUGAGGUGAGGAUUGAGAGAAAAGAAGUUCUCGGUUUCUGGAGAUGGAAUCUGGACAUUCCACUAGACAUACUUCUGGGCAGCCAUUUUUGUACCUCUCUCUACACUGUGCAUUUCCUCUAGGCUAUCACAGACCAGUGUUCAGGCUGACAAGCAUGCGGGCUGUUUACCUCAAGAGACUGAUUGGGUUCUGGACCAAGUGUGUGGUCAGCUACUUGAAUGAAUACACUCUCAUUCUCUGGCUUUUCCUCGUGCUUGUCUUGGUUAAGGAAAAUGUCUAAGAAGACACAGUACAGAAAAUGCUUUGGUUUUCUCAUGCGUAAAAAUUCUUUCUUAUUUUGCACUUCAGACAACACAUAUUCAUGUUUUUUCUACAUAAGUUGUGGAUAUUGGGACAAAAAGGAAAAAGAAAAAAUAGGCCUAAGCAGAAUGUAAUAAUAAUGCUAGCAAAAUACCAGCACUAUUAUUUGAGCUUGCAGGUUGUACCCUGCGUAACUCUAGGGUGUGGCAUUCACAUAGCUUUUCAUGUGACCAAUGUUCCUUAGAGCUAUG
rnacentral:lncRNA from 1 species